CUGAAUACUGAAUAAGCAUGCUUACACACACACACAUACAUGCACACACAUUUUGUUGCAGAUAUAGAUAUUUGAAAUAAGUAACAAAAUACUUACUGCAAGUCUUCUCUUUUUAAUAAUUUAUAUAUAAUUUUCAGGUUUAACUGUAACCAUAAUGUGGCAAAUUGUAAAAAAAAAAAAAAAAAAAAAAAACUGAUACAUAUCUGUAUAAAUGAAGUGGUAAACUUGACUAAAUGUGAUUUUAAAUGUUAUAAUAUUGAUUUUAUAUUUAAUUGCAAAACCUAUGAAAAGUACUGUUUUACUAAUGUGAAUGAGCCCAUUAGUGGUCAUCUGCUGCCAUCUAGUGGUUAUAAUUGAAAUUUCACGGAGUUUAUUAUAAAUAUAAAACUAUUGUAGUGCCAUUUUUUGCCUGAUAUCCAUAAAAGUGAGCAUGCUUGUUUAUUUUGGAUGAAAACCGGGAGGCUUGAGACUGUCCCAUAGACUGCCAGGUAAAUAACAGUGUCAAGGUCCAUAAAAGGUAUGAAAACCGUCGUCAGAAUACUCCAUCUGCCAUCAGACGUGCAAUUUGGAUUAUAUGAAGCGGCGGGAACACUGUGUGUCCUCUGAGGCAGUAUAGGACAAAGAACCUUGGACAAAGACACUGGAAAUUUUCAGGUUAAUAGGACUUCGGGUGGUGUAGCUAUAACCAUUUUUUAUGUUUUUUCAUUGUUUAUAGCGCCAGCAAGUGGACAGUUGCCACGUGGUUUUUCAUGCGACCCCAGAAUGAGCUCUUAUGCAUGUGUGCCGUGUUUGGUGAAAAUAUCUCAUUCUGUUGACGAGCUAUAGGCAUUUCAGUAAAACUGUCUCUGUUUUGGCACCUCUUUGAGGCUGUGAUUGGAAAUGUCAGCUUUUUUUUAAUUAUUGACAAGUUUUGUUAAUUAUUGACAAAGAGACUUUAGAGAAUCUCGCUGCUUUGGUUCGGCUGCGAUUGGGAUAAAAACCUAGGACUAUUUCGCAAAUGUGGGUUUUUCUAAAAAUGCAAAUAAUACCUGAAAAUUUUGCCAGAGCCACAAGCAAAUCUGAGGCAUGCAUUUUCUCUGCCUUGAGCCAAGGAUUCAAAUGAAGUAAGGCACUUGAGCCUGCGCCUAACGGUUCGGGAGUCAUGAUCGAUUUUGUACUUUUGGUUGCUGUAGCACCCCCUUGAGGCUGAUUGGGGCGAGCCUUCUUCUUGGACGUAAUAGGCAGUGCAAGUACUACCAGCACCUGAAAGUUUCAAGUCUUUAGAAGACUGCGCUACGCUCUUGAACCCCUAAUUAUUAACUCGCUAAUCAAAUCACCAUAUGACCUUACUGAUUUACAGUUAUUUGAAAGCUAUAUAAGUUUGAUUCACUAACAAGAAUUGAUCCAUUAGAAUUUUUACCUGAAUCAAACAACACUGCUUUCACUUCACAGACUCCCCUGAAGAAAACGCAAAGAAAGAAAGAAACAUUCAGAAAGAAACAAGCAAGUGCACCAAGCCUUCAGGUCCACAGCCACAGCCUACAGAUAAAUCAAGAACUAAUAGAAGCCAAAUAGUGGCAAUGGCAAAUCCACAACAAGAUCCAGAAGAGAUUACAUGUAGGAGACGCAUGCAGUGAAGGAUCAAGAAACAGGAGCAGAGAGCUAGAAAGGCAGCAUGUGAGAGAACGCUACGCCAGAUGUUGGUCGCUCCACAAGGCAGAGAUACCUCAAAAAUUUGAGAGUCAGAACUUUACCAGUCUGUGCUCAUCAGUAGUUCAGAGCAUAACACCACAAGACCAACUUGGCUACUUGGCUGAACCAUGUCAACCUGCAGUCAAAGAAGAGUCAAGCUUUGCACCAAAUCAUGCAUCGGAGGGACUUUUAUCACAGGAUAAGUGGAGAAAUGUGUACCUCAUGGACUUUGAGCCUGUCAACCCGUUGUUGGUGUGUAUGGUUUGUGGAGAGCAGCAGUACUCGAUGAGUGUGGAAGGGGUGAAAGCUCACAUUGGGGAGGUGCAUCCUGAUAAACUAUCAUUGAUAGACCUUGAACAUCAAGGCAUUCUUGAUUCCUGGGAUAAACACGUGGCCGUCUGAGAACACUUGCAGAGCCUCUACAGGGGUUUGCUGUGCGUCUGAUGUGGUUUGCAGUUCUCUAGGUCCAGAAUCCAGUCGGAACACUGUGGGAAUCUGACCCAAUAUGGGACAGGUCUCCUGUAGACCUGAAAUCCACUGAGACAGAGUGACCUGGU